UACGUAGGGUGCGAGCGUUGUCCGGAAUUAUUGGGCGUAAAGAGCUUGUAGGCGGUUUGUCGCGUCUGCUGUGAAAUCUCAAGGCUCAACCUUGAGCUUGCAGUGGGUACGGGCAGACUAGAGUGUGGUAGGGGAGACUGGAAUUCCUGGUGUAGCGGUGAAAUGCGCAGAUAUCAGGAGGAACACCGGUGGCGAAGGCGGGUCUCUGGGCAGUUACUGACGCUGAGGAGCGAAAGCAUGGGGAGCGAACAGG
rnacentral:rRNA from 1 species